rnacentral:tRNA from 1 species
CGGGCAGUGGCUCAGUGGUAGAGCUCGAGCUUCGUAUGCGAGAAGAUCUAGGUUCGAUCCCCGGCUGCUUAG